GUGUUAUUGUGGUCGGCACACCUUCUCUCAAGUCAAUGGGUGGAGAGCUUUCCGGGGUGGGCUCGUCGAUACCCGAUCUCGUGGGCUGAAUUCUUCAAUGACUCGGUCUUACGUCACAAGGACAACCUAGGAAUAGUCACGUGCAAGGGCUGAUUACUAGGUCGACCGUCAAGAGCCGUCAAAUGCAUUUGCAAGGAAGGGGCCUGCAUCGAGGCCAGGCUUUGGGUUGGACAUCAUAGAUCGGAAAAGCGG